AAAUCUCGUCUUGAUCAAAUCUCCAGCCCUAAGCCGCCUCUUUCUAGCAGAGGUAGACCCGUUUAGGGUUUCCCCUGGCGAUAUCGCUUUAACCAUGCUGGGGUUUUUACUUAUAGAAGUCGACACGCUAAAGCCUAUUAAACCUUUAAUUUACUCCCCACGGGCUCUGUCUAUUUCUCAAUCGGAAGGUGUUAGAAAAAAGGUAACGCAUAAUUGCUCCAAGAGUCGAAGGCCUCUGUUCUUGUGAAUCGAAUUGAACACUUGCAGAGCACGCUCAACUGGGCGAUGGGCACACGACUCACCGGUCAGGCCAGAGUACCCUAAUGUGAAGGAUGGGGAGGCGGUGAAGAUUUAAGAGCCUGUCGAAAAAGCUGCUAUUGGAAUCAAUAAGCGAGGAUGAUGACUCAAUGGAUUCAGAUUGCUGGGGGCUAGCUCUUCUGGAAAACGUGAAUGAACUGUACAACAAAUAUCAAGGAGAAGAAAUGAAGGUGAAAGGAAUUGGUGAAUUUGAACCAAGAGUCGACGAUGAAUGAGAAACAAAGUUUCUCAUACAACUUUCAGAUCCUUUCCUACCUGCUUCUUGUGGCAAAAGCUUAAUGGCACUCGUGUUGUCUCCAUUGAGCUUUAGAGCGAGUCUCUUGAAGAAGGAUUGUGUGAUUGCGCCAAAAGAUCGAGGCUUUAGAUCACCGAUGAGAUUCGGGGCUUGGGAUUAUAAUAGCUAAAAGGAAUUAGGUACUGUCUUUGAAAGAUAUCUCAUUGGAUUAUAACCUUUAGCAAGUGGGUCUUGGGAUUAUAGCUAAAUGGAAUUAGCUACUUUUGUGGAGGAUAUUUUCAUAAAUUUAUUCGAUUAUAAGCUCUUGUAAGUCAUUCACUCCUUGUUCUCUAUUGUUGAUGCUUUGUCUGCGAUACAUUUGUGUUAGGGUUAAGCUUGCUGCUCAUGGUCCCCUAUUUUGCUCUCUUUUAUUUUUGAAGAAGUUGCCAGCUUAUCUAUUUACAAUUGUCGUAUUAUUCUAUUAUUCGAUUAAAUCUCCCUCCCGUAUAAAAUGAACGAUUCGAAGAGGAGUGAAACUAAAUGAAGGGAUAUAAGACGAGCAAUAGACAAAUGAGAGAAAGGAAUGUGGAGUACUUUCAUAAAGUGAACUUUGCGUGGAUAACCUUCAAAGUGUACGUCUGAAACGAGAUCAGAUCAAAAAUACUUUAGAGAAAUUUCGUGAAGAGGAUGUUACGAAGACAACUUGCAACCAAAGAACCACAUAUAAAUGCUUAUUCUAGGGCCAAAAAUACUUUCAAAACAUCUUAUCUUUUGUUAAUUAUAUCUUGAGGGAUGCCUUUAAAACUCUCCAUAAAGAGGGUCUUGAUUACAUUGAUUGAAUGAAAUCUGGUUAUUUGAGAAAUUUAUCGAUUUAAAUCAUCUCAAGAGAGAAUCCUGAUGCUUUCGACAUUUCUACCAGAUUAUAGAGCAGAGGGUGAAUCAUCGUAAGCAUUAGGAGCUGUGAUGCUUACGCAUAUGGGACCCACAAGACAAUAUAAAUGAUUAAAGUAUACUUAGUUGAGAAGGUAGUUAACAUAAUCAGAGACUCUUUGUCAGCAAUCCAUGAAUUGCAUUGUCCCAGGAUGUCUCAAUAGCCCCAAAUUCAGAUGGAAGAAACUUUAGUUCUUAUGGCUCUAUAGCACGCUGAGCUCAAAGAGGUGGGGGUUAUCCUCGCCAAAGAUUGUAGAGCUAUCGCUGGAAAGAAGAGAAAGGAGAUUUAGCUACAAAAUUGGAAAGACUACACACAAAGGACUUAUAGUCCGUUUUGGUCGAGGAUGCAUCUAACAUCCUAGUUAUACUAGACGGUCCUAAGUAAAAAUUUAUGUUGGACUAGUCAUGUUGGAGAAGCACACAGACUUCUUGGGCAUAUACAUAUGAUGCAGCUGUGUACCACAAUCUCAUGAUGUGAAGGUACUAUUGAUUAUGACUUGGGAUAUCGUCAUACAUGCAACUCAUUUUAAAAUUUGCUAGAAGGCCAUGCAAA